rnacentral:rRNA from 1 species
AUUGAACGCUGGCGGCAGGCCUAACACAUGCAAGUCGAGCGGAUGAAGGGAGCUUGCUCCUGGAUUCAGCGGCGGACGGGUGAGUAAUGCCUAGGAAUCUGCCUGGUAGUGGGGGAUAACGUCCGGAAACGGGCGCUAAUACCGCAUACGUCCUGAGGGAGAAAGUGGGGGGUCUUCGGACCUCACGCUAUCAGAUGAGCCUAGGUCGGAUUAGCUAGUUGGUGGGGUAAAGGCCUACCAAGGCGACGAUCCGUAACUGGUCUGAGAGGAUGAUCAGUCACACUGGAACUGAGACACGGUCCAGACUCCUACGGGAGGCAGCAGUGGGGAAUAUUGGACGAUGGGCGAAAGCCUGAUCCAGCCAUGCCGCGUGUGUGAAGAAGGUCUUCGGAUUGUAAAGCACUUUAAGUUGGGAGGAAGGGCAGUAAGUUAAUACCUUGCUGUUUUGACGUUACCAACAGAAUAAGCACCGGCUAACUUCGUG